GAGGGUAUAGCUCAGUGGUAGCGCACUGUGCUUAGCAUGCGCAUGCACAAGGUCCUGGGUUCAAUCCCCAGUGCCGCCA
rnacentral:tRNA from 1 species